rnacentral:siRNA from 1 species
AGGCAAUAUGUCGGGCUUGUGCAG